rnacentral:rRNA from 1 species
CAGUCGCCACGGUAACACGUAGGUGGCGAGCGUUGUCCGGAAUUAUUGGGCGUAAAGGGAGCGCAGGCGGGCGAGUAAGUCUUUCUUAAAAGUGCGGGGCUCAACCCCGUGAGGGGAGUGAAACUACUCAUCUUGAGUGCAGGAGAGGAAAGCGGAAUUCCUAGUGUAGCGGUGAAAUGCGUAGAUAUUAGGAAGAACACCAGUGGCGAAGGCGGCUUUCUGGACUGUAACUGACGCUGAGGCUCGAAAGCCAGGGGAGCGAACGGGAUUAGAUACCCGCGUAGUCCCUGUCUCUUAUACA